AUAGUACCAUCAGAUUCAUAAGCUAUUUACAUAUGAACUUUUUCCUAUCUGACAGAGCUUUACGACCCGAAAGCCUUCUUCACUCACGCGGCGUUGCUGCGUCAGGGUUUCCCCCAUUGCGCAAAAUUCCUCA
rnacentral:rRNA from 1 species